rnacentral:rRNA from 1 species
GACCAAAAAUAGCUCAAAAUAUACUAAUCAAUAUUAUCCUAAAACCCUAAAACAAAACAUUUAUAACAAUUUAAAAGUAUAGGUGAUAGAAAUUUUACUCGACGCUAUAGAAAUAGUACCGCAAGGGAAAAAUGAAAGAAAAAUUUUAAAGUAUAAAAAAGCAAAGUUUAAAUCUUGUACCUUUUGCAUAAUGAUUCAACUAGAAGACAUUAGCAAAAAGAAUUUAAGUUAUAUACCCCGAAACUAGACGAGCUACCCAUUAGCAGCCUAAAGAGCAAACUCAUCUAUGUGGCAAAAUAGUGAGAAGACUAGUGGGUAGAGGCAACAAACCUACCGAGCCUAGUGAUAGCUGGUUGUCCAGAAUUGAAUUUUAGUUCUAAUUUAAGCUUACCUACAAAAAAAUAAAUUUAAAUGUAAACUUAAAUAAUAAUCUAAAAGGGUACAGCCUUUUAGAGACGGGAUACAACCCCUAUCAGUGAGUAAACAAAAUUAUAAAACACUCUAGUUGGCCUAAAAGCAGUCACCAAACAAGAUAGCGUUCAAGCUCAAUAGUACACAUUAACCAAUUUCAACUAUAAACAGUAAUACUCCUGAUUUAAAUACUGGACUAUUCUAUUUCCAAAUAGAAGCAAUAAUGUUGAUAUUAGUAACAAGAAAUAUUUCUCCUCGCAUGCGUGUAUAUCAGAACGAAUAAAUCACUGAUAGUUAACAAAUAUAAAUAUAACCACUUAAUAAAAUUUUUAAAUAUACUGUUAAUCCUACACAGGUGUGCAAAUAAGGAAAGAUUAAAAAAAGUAAAAGGAACUCGGCAAACACAAACCCCGCCUGUUUACCAAAAACAUCACCUCUAGCAUAAAAAGUAUUAGAGGCACUGCCUGCCCAGUGACUUAAGUUCAACGGCCGCGGUAUCCUGACCGUGCAAAGGUAGCAUAAUCACUUGUUCUCUAAAUAAGGACUUGUAUGAAUGGCUCCACGAGGGUUUUACUGUCUCUUACUUUUAAUCAGUGAAAUUGACCUUCCCGUGAAGAGGCGGGAAUAUGAAAAUAAGACGAGAAGACCCUAUGGAGCUUCAAUUAAUCAACUCAUUAAUCAUUAGUCCACACUCUACUAGAAAUAAUCCUAUUAUAACUGAGUUGACAAUUUAGGUUGGGGUGACCUCGGAAUAAAAAUCAACUCCCGAGAAAAUUUCAAUUAAGACAGACAAGUCAAAAUUAUUUUAUUAUAGAUUGAUCCGUUAAUAUAGCGAUCAACGAAAUAAGUUACCCUAGGGAUAACAGCGCAAUCCUAUUUAAGAGUCCAUAUCGACAAUUAGGGUUUACGACCUCGAUGUUGGAUCAGGACAUCCCAAUGGUGCAGCAGCUAUUAAUGUGUUCGUUUGUUCAACGAUUAAAGUCCUACGUGAUCUGAGUUCAGACCGGAGAAAUCCAGGUCGGUUUCUAUCUAUUCAUAGUCCCUCCCAGUACGAAAGGACAAGAGAGACAGGGCCCACUUAAAAUAAGCGCCCUUCCUAAUGAGAUGAAAUAAUCUUAAUCUAUUCUAAAUACUACUACCCAAGAACAGGGUUA